rnacentral:rRNA from 1 species
UCACGCCAGUGGCAUUGCCGGGUAGCUAUGUUCGGAAAAGAUAACCGCUGAAAGCAUCUAAGCGGGAAACUUGCCUCAAGAUGAGAUCUCACUGGGAACUUGAUUCCCCUGAAGGGCCGUCGAAGACUACGACGUUGAUAGGCUGGGUGUGUAAGCGUUGUGAGGCGUUGAGCUAACCAGUACUAAUUGCCCGUGAGGCUUGACCAU